GACGAACGCUGGCGGCGUGCCUAAUACAUGCAAGUUGAGCGAUGAAGAUUGGUGCUUGCACCAAUUUGAAGAGCAGCGAACGGGUGAGUAACGCGUAGGGAAUCUGCCUUUGAGCGGGGGACAACAUUUGGAAACGAAUGCUAAUACCGCAUAACAACUUUAAACAUAAGUUUUAAGUUUGAAAGAUGCAAUUGCAUCACUCAAAGAUGAUCCCGCGUUGUAUUAGCUAGUUGGUGAGGUAAAGGCUCACCAAGGCGAUGAUACAUAGCCGACCUGAGAGGGUGAUCGGCCACAUUGGGACUGAGACACGGCCCAAACUCCUACGGGAGGCAGCAGUAGGGAAUCUUCGGCAAUGGACGAAAGUCUGACCGAGCAACGCCGCGUGAGUGAAGAAGGUUUUCGGAUCGUAAAACUCUGUUGGUAGAGAAGAACGUUGGUGAGAGUGGAAAGCUCAUCAAGUGACGGUAACUACCCAGAAAGGGACGGCUAACUACGUG
rnacentral:rRNA from 1 species